rnacentral:rRNA from 1 species
GGGAAUUUUCGUCAAUGGGGGGAACCCUGAACGAGCAAUGCCGCGUGAGUGAAGAAGGCCUUCGGGUCGUAAAGCUCUGUUGUAAGAGAAAAACGGUCAUUAUAGGGAAUGAUAAUGAAGUGAUGGUAUCUUACCAGAAAGCCACGGCUAACUACGUGCCAGCAGCCGCGGUAAUACGUAGGUGGCAAGCGUUAUCCGGAAUGAUUGGGCGUAAAGGGUGCGCAGGCGGUCCAGAAAGUCUGUAGUAAAAGGCAUUGGCUCAACCAAUGUAUGCUGUGGAAACUGAUGGACUAGAGUGCAGGAGAGGGCAGUGGAAUUCCAUGUGUAGCGGUAAAAUGCGUAGAUAUAUGGAGGAACACCGGUGGCGAAGGCGGCUGCCUGGCCUGUAACUGACGCUGAGGCACGAAAGCGUGGGGAGCAAAUAGG